rnacentral:lncRNA from 1 species
AAAUUACAUUGCAGGUCCUUUAUCUUAUUUUUUUGUAACACUUUGGUCAUUUAUCUUUUUUUUGUAACACUUUGGUCCUUUAUCUUUUAUUUGUAACACUAUGGUCCUUUAUUAUUUUUUAUUUGUAACAUUUAGGUCCUUUAUUUUUUAUAAAUAAAUAAGAUAAGGACCAAAGUGUUACAAAAAAAAAAGGACUAAAGUGUUACAAAUAAAAAA